AGUGAACGCUGGCGGUAGGCCUAACACAUGCAAGUCGAACGGCAGCACAGUAAGAGCUUGCUCUUACGGGUGGCGAGUGGCGGACGGGUGAGGAAUAUAUCGGAAUCUACUUUUUCGUGGGGGAUAACGUAGGGAAACUUACGCUAAUACCGCAUACGACCUACGGGUGAAAGCAGGGGAUCUUCGGACCUUGCGCGAUUGAAUGAGCCGAUGUCGGAUUAGCUAGUUGGCGGGGUAAAGGCCCACCAAGGCGACGAUCCGUAGCUGGUCUGAGAGGAUGAUCAGCCACACUGGAAGUGAGACACGGUCCAGACUCCUACGAGAGGCAGCAGUGGGGAAUGUUGGACAAUGGGGGCAAGCCUGAUCCAGCCAUACCGCGUGGGUGAAGAAGGCCUUCGGAUUGUAAAGCCCUUUUGUUGGGAAAGAAAAGCAGCAGGUUAAGACCCCGCUGUUCUGACGGUACCCAAAGAAUAAGCACCGGCUAACUUCGUG
rnacentral:rRNA from 1 species